rnacentral:rRNA from 1 species
UACGUAGGGGGCGAGCGUUGUCCGGAAUGAUUGGGCGUAAAGGGCGCGUAGGCGGCUUAUCAAGUCUGGAGUGGAAGUCCUAUUUUCAAGGUAGGAAUUGCUUUGGAAACUGGUAAGCUUGAGUGCAGGAGAGGUCAUCGGAAUUCCCGGUGUAGCGGUGAAAUGCGUAGAGAUCGGGAGGAACACCAGUGGCGAAGGCGGGUGACUGGACUGCAACUGACGCUGAGGCGCGAAAGUGUGGGGAGCAAACAGG